rnacentral:rRNA from 1 species
AUUGAACGCUAGCGGCAUGCUUAACACAUGCAAGUCGAACGGCAGCGGGAGAAAGCUUGCUUUCUUGCCGGCGAGUGGCGGACGGGUGAGUAACGCGUAGGAAUUUACCUAGUAGUGGGGGACAACUCGGGGAAACUCGAGCUAAUACCGCAUAAUCUCUACGGAGCAAAGCAGGGGAUCUUCGGACCUUGCGCUAUUAGAUGAGCCUGCGUUGGAUUAGCUUGUUGGUGGGGUAAAGGCCUACCAAGGCGACGAUCCAUAGCUGGUCUGAGAGGACGAUCAGCCACACUGGGACUGAGACACGGCCCAG